UGUGAAGUUGCAUCACACAAGAGGUACUGUAGACAAUGUUGGCUCUUACCAAGAUGGUGAGAACAAAAUCCAAACACAAUAUUCAUCAUGAGAGACCAUUCAUGUAUGUCUUUAUCAUCUAGAACUUGUGUAUACUCUUUUCUGAUAUUCAUUGCAUGAUUACAUACACGGAGGCGCGUUGUUUGAGCAUGUAUCCCUUUGUUUGUGAAAAUACCACAUUAUUA
rnacentral:lncRNA from 1 species